CACGUAGUUAGCCGGCGCUUCUUCUGCAGGUACCGUCACUUGCGCUUCUUCCCUGCUGAAAGAGGUUUACAACCCGAAGGCCGUCAUCCCUCACGCGACGUCGCUGCAUCAGGCUUUCGCCCAUUGUGCAAUAUUCCCCACUGCUGCCUCCCGUAGGAGUCUGGGCCGUGUCUCAGUCCCAGUGUGGCCGGUCGCCCUCUCAGGCCGGCUACCCGUCGUCGCCUUGGUAGGCCAUUACCCCACCAACAAGCUGAUAGGCCGCGGGCUCAUCCUUCACCGCCGGAGCUUUCAACCCCCGACCCAUGCAGGCAGAAGUAUUAUCCGGUAUUAGACCCCGUUUCCAGGGCUUGUCCCAGAGUGAAGGGCAGAUUGCCCACGUGUUACUCACCCGUUCGCCACUAAUCCACCCCGAAAGGCUUCAUCGUUCGACUUGCAUGUGUUAAGCACGCCGCCAGCGUCGUCCUGAGCCGCGAGUCAACUAC
rnacentral:rRNA from 1 species